rnacentral:rRNA from 1 species
CCUACGGGCGGCAGCAGUGGGGAAUAUUGGGCAAUGGGCGCAAGCCUGACCCAGCAACGCCGCGUGAAGGAAGAAGGCCCUCGGGUUGUAAACUUCUUUUAUUCGGGACGAAACAAAUGACGGUACCGAAUGAAUAAGCCACGGCUAACUACGUGCCAGCAGCCGCGGUAAUACGUAGGUGGCAAGCGUUAUCCGGAUUUACUGGGGGUAAAGGGCGUGUAGGUGGGCGAGCAAGUCAGACGUGAAAUUCCAGGGGUCAACCCUGGCACUGCGUUUGAAACUGUGCGUCUUGAGUGAUGGAGAGGCAGGCGGAAUGCCGGGUGUAGCGGGGAAAUGCGUAGAUAUACGGAGGAACACCAGUGGCGAAGGCGGCCUGCUGGACAGUAACGGACGCUGAGGCGCGAAAGCGUGGGGAGCAAACAGGAUUAGAUACCCCGGUAGUC